UAUGGACUCAUCUUUUCACAUACUGUGAUUCUGCUGGAGAAGGUAGAGGGUGAGCAACACUAGAAAAAACUGUGUUUCUUUAAUCCUUACAGCUAUAACCUCCUGCCUGUGAUUACUUGUUCUGCCUAAGAACUAAGGUCCCAUCAUAUGCCUCUCAAGCAUUUUUUGCUAUAACAAUUAAAUGUAUAUAGUAUACAUGCUAUAGUUGAAUGCAGAUUUUCAAUAUCAGUGACCAUUCCUAAGAUUCACAGCAAAGAAUUCAUUGUUUUCCUAUACUUUAACUGCUGUGCUUUCUUUUCCUUGCUUUAAUAUAAGUUGCCUACUAUUAGAUGCUAAGCAAUCCUAUAUUCACAUUAGAUUUGUCAUAAACUAUGAACCCAGCAGAAAUUUCCAGUUUGACUGUUCAUCACCUCAUUCCAAGACAAAGAAAGCACAUGUAGAAUGUUUGGGUUUCUUCUUUCCUCUGUCAGGAGUAACCUUCUUCAAAUCACAUGUUCCAGGCUUGUUUCUACUCAUUUUUCAUAUCCCAACAUAUACAUUGAUUCCUUUGUGAAUUUGUGCUAGAGUUUUGGUCCUACACUUGUGGUUUUUCCGCUGUAGUUUCCAUGUUGGUCUGUUGAUAAUGCUGUCACAAUAC
rnacentral:lncRNA from 1 species